UAUCUACACACACACACACAGGCACAAUGACAAACCGAAACAUGUGUGAAUUUCAGGUUUUCAAGUGGGAAAACUAUUUUUGAUAAUCUUUAACGGAGAAAAGGUAACAGCAAGUUGGCCGACAAUGGAAGAACGAGGAGAUAUCGUUGGUUUAACAGUGAAGAGCUCCUUUAGAAAGGAAAUGUGUUACCAAAGAAAAAUACCCUUAUGAAGACAAAUAAAUGAGCCAACGAGAGCCUUUCUAUUUAACUGGUCCAUUUGAUAGAUGUUCCAUCUAAAAUUCCCUCAAAAAAGGGCGGCAGAAGCGUUUUAUGACAGUGAAAGACGCACUUCUAAAUACACUGUUUUUUUUUUAAUAAAGACACGUGCGAUAGUCCCAUGUUGAACUCAUUAGGCGCUAGGUCUGUUCAAUAAGGAUAUUUGACCUGUGGCUAUAUACAAACAACAACAACGACAGCAAUGUGAAAGGAAGAUUUAAAAAAGAGAUGCCCCCCACCACCUCAAAAGUGAAGGAUAUCGAAGGUAACUGUUGCUGUUCAGCAUAAGUGACUGGAAACAUAAACUAGUCUAUGAGGACUGGAGUUGAGCACGUUCUUCAGGGUGGCGGACAUGUUGGAGGAAGAGGGAAGUGAAGGAGGAGUGGAUGGUGGAGCAAGUGAUGGCGGUGGGAGGGGGGUGCCCUCUGGAAUGUUUACUUCAUUAAUUGGAAGAAGCGUUUCAGCUCGAAGGCAGCGGACAUGCUGGGGCACCACUUUUUGCUUCGAUACACCUUAGCUAUUUGAAACCUCCUAGAAGAGGUUUCAAAUAUGUGGCAAUUACGUGAAGAAAGAAGUUGAUGUUGCUGCCCUCAUCUGCGAUACCUCCGAUGAGAAACAACGGCAAGCGCAGCAACACGAUCGAGGGUCAUGGCGGAGACAGCAAUAAAACUUCAACGACAGAAUCACCUCCAUAAACGGUGGUACGGCGUUAAAUCUAACUCAGGGACUUGUAUUUGUGCCAGUCACCAAAAAUGACAUUUUGGGCGUUCUUGGAAUCGGAAUGUCUUUUCAAUUUCUCACUAAUAGAUGUAAAUAAAGUAUUCAAAGUUUCAACAGGUAU